CCUACGGGUGGCAGCAGUGAGGAAUAUUGGUCAAUGGGCGAAAGCCUGAACCAGCCAAGUAGCGUGAAGGAUGACGGCCCUACGGGUUGUAAACUGCUUUUAUACGGGAAUAACGCGCCUUACGUGUAGGGCUUUGCAUGUACAGUAUGAAUAAGGACCGGCUAAUUCCGUGCCAGCAGCCGCGGUAAUACGGAGGAUCCGGGCGUUAUCCGGAUUUAUUGGGUUUAAAGGGAGCGUAGGCGGCAUGUCAAGCGUGCUGUGAAAUGUCCGGGCUCAACCCGGGCAUUGCAGUGGAAACUGGCGUGCUUGAGUACGGGGGAGGCAGGCGGAAUUCGUGGUGUAGCGGUGAAAUGCGUAGAUAUGACGAAGAACCCCGAUUGCGAAGGCAGCUUGCUGGAGCGGAACUGACGCUGAUGCUCGAAAGCGCGGGUAUCGAACAGGAUUAGAUACCCCUGUAGUC
rnacentral:rRNA from 1 species